UUCCAUGAGGAGGACGCGACGAGGGCGUCGCUAGAACAAGUGGGGGAUAAUGUCAUGGGUUGCGCAUGGGAUCUUACAACCAUAGCAGAUUCGUACGAUCCAUUGCAUUCGAGGGCGGUCAUUUGGCCCAACGGGACUGGUUCAUUGCCUGGAGGAAUUAAAAGCCCAUCUCUGGAGCUUGGCAAAUAAGGAAAGUGAUCUUUUGAAGGUAUGCUUGGCAAGUAUGGAAGGUGAUCUUUGCAGAUAUGUGAUCCUAGAUAUUAAAUGAAAUCUUUAGAAGAUACGAUUAUGAAAUCUUAGAGAUUUGAUAUUGUGAUAGCUUUUAAUUGUAGCCAUUGAUGUAUUUUGAUUUAGACCGUUGAUUUUGGAGAGCCUCAGCUAUAAAUAGUGGACUCUCUGCUCAUUGUAAAUUGUUCAGUUGUUAAUAGAAUUCUGAGAUUAUUCACUCAAACUUUUCCCUCAAGUGUUCUUACUUUCUGUUGCUUUUGUUCAUCUUUUAAGUUCAUUCUUACUUCGUUCUUCUGUUGUUCUUCGUGGUUUCCUUGACUUAGGCAUUUUUGAGCAAAGAAACUGGCUGAGGCCGCACGGAUCGCAUGGGAAAACUCUAAGUCCAUGACACUAGUAGCUAGUUCCCUCCGAAGUUUCCCUCAGGAUAGCUGGAGGCCUCAGCGAGUUCUAUCGGGUAAAGCCAAUGAUUAGAGGCAUCGGGGCCGCAAUGCCCUCGACCUAUUCUCAAACUUUAAAUAGGUAAGAUGGUGUGGGUGCUUCGUUGAGCCGCGCCACGGAAUCGAGAGCUCCAACUGGGCCAUUUUUGGUAAGCAGAACUGGCGAUGCGGGAUGAAUCGGAAGCUGGGUUACGGUGCCCAACUGCGCACUAACCUAGAACCAACAAAGGGUGUUGGUUGAUUAAGACAGCAGGACGGUGGUCAUGGAAGUCAAAAUCUGCUAAGGAAUGUGUAACAACUCACCUGCCGAAUCAACUAGCCCCAAAAAUGGAUGGCACUUAAGCGCGUAACCUACACUUGGCCGCCGUGGUAAGGGCCAGGCCCCGAUUAGCAAGACAGUACGGCGAUCAUCGCAAAACCUGGGGCAUGAGCCUGGGUGGAGCGGACGUCGGUGCAGAUCUUGGUGGUAGUAGCAAAUAUUCAAAUGAGAACUUUGAAGGCUGAAGAGGGGAAAGGUUCCAUGUGAACAUCACUUGCGCAUGGGUUAGUCGAUCCUAAGAGACGGAGAAAGCCCGUCCGAUAGCACGUUCAGCGCGAGCUUCGAAAGGGAAUCGGGUUAAAAUUCUUGAACCGAGACUCGGUGACUGAAGAUAACGUUAGGGAGUCCAGAGACGUCGGUGGAGGCAUCAGGAAGAGUUAUCUUUUCUUUUUAACGGCCUGCCUACCCUGGAAAUGGCUUAGCCGGAGGUAGGGUCCAGCGGCCGAAAGAGCACCGCACGCUGUAUAGUGUCCGGUGCGCCCUCGGCGGCCCUUGAAAAUCUGAAGGAUCGAGUGCUGUCUGCGCCCGGUCGUACUCAUAACCACAUCAGGUCUCCAAGGUGAACAGCCUCUGGUCAAUGGAACAAUGUAGGCAAGGAAAGUCGGCAAAAUGGAUCUAUAACCUUGGGAAAAGGAUUGGCUCUAAGGUCUGGGCACGAGGGUCCCAGUCCCAAACCCGUAGGCUAUCGGUACACUACUCGAGCUGCUCCCGCGGCUAGAGGGGGUUGCUGCGUGCCGGCCGGGGGACGGACUGGGAACGGCACCCUCGGGGGCCUUCCCCGGGCGACGAACAGUCUACUCAGAAUUGGUACAGACAAAGGGAAUCCAACUGUUUAAUUAAAACAAAUCAUUGCGAUGGUCUCUGCAGAUGCUCAUGCAAUCUGAUUUCUACCUAGUGCUCUGAAUGUCAAAGUGAAGAAUUUCAACCAAGCGCGGCUAAACGACAGGAGUAACUAUGACUCUCUUAAGCGUGGCCUAUCGAUUUUUUAGACCUUCGGAAUAAGAAGCUAGAUGUGUUAGAAAUUUUACCACAUGCAUAACUGGCUUGUGGCAGCCGAGCGUUCAUAGCGACGUUGCUGUUUGGUCCUUCGAUGUCGACUCUUCCUAUCAUUGUGAAGCAGAAUCCACCAAGUAUUGGAUUGUUCACCCACCAAUAAGAAACGUGAGCUGGGUUUAGACCGUCGUGAGAUAGGUUAGUUUUACCCUACAGAUGGGCGCAUCAUAAUAGUAAUUCAACCUAGUACAAGAGGAACCGUUGAUUCGUACAAUUGGUUAUUGCGCUUGGUUGAAAAGCCAGUGGCGCAAAGUUACCAUGCGUUGGAUUAUGACUGAACAGUUCUAAGUCAAAAUCUGGGCUAGAAGUGACGCACGCGCCCGUCGCCCGAUUGCCGACCCGCAGUAGGGGCCUCUGGCCCCUAAGGGCACGUGUCGUAGGUGCAGCGACCGCGGCAGACAAUUCACAGGCGCCUCCCUGGAGCGUAAUUCCCACCGAGCGGCGGGUAGAAUCAUUUGCAGAUGACAUAAAUACACGACGGGGUAUUGUAAGUAGCAGAGUGGCCUUGCUGCCACGAUCCACUGAGAUUCAGCCCUUUUGUCGCUUCGAUUCGUCCCUCCUCUAUCG
rnacentral:rRNA from 1 species